GAUGAACGCUGGCGGCGUGCUUAACACAUGCAAGUCGAGCGAGGACUUCGGUUCUAGCGGCGGACGGGGGAGUAACGCGUGGGAAUGUGCCCUUCUCUACGGAAUAGCCCUGGGAAACUGGGAGUAAUACCGUAUACGCCCUAUUGGGGAAAGAUUUAUCGGAGAAGGAUCAGCCCGCGUUGGAUUAGGUAGUUGGUGGGGUAAUGGCCUACCAAGCCGACGAUCCAUAGCUGGGUUGAGAGGAUGAUCAGCCACACUGGGACUGAGACACGGCCCAGACUCCUACGGGAGGCAGCAGUGGGGAAUCUUAGACAAUGGGGGCAACCCUGAUCUAGCCAUGCCGCGUGAGUGAUGAAGGCCUUAGGGUUGUAAAGCUCUUUCAGCUGGGAAGAUAAUGACGGUACCAGCAGAAGAAGCCCCGGCUAACUCCGUG
rnacentral:rRNA from 1 species